GCCGAAGUGGUGGAAUUGGUAGACACGCUAGGUUCAGGGUCUAGUGAGCGUCCGCUCGUGGGAGUUCGACUCUCCCCUUCGGCA
rnacentral:tRNA from 1 species